GGCUUCGUGGUCGAGCGGUAAGGACACUUGGCUUUCAUCGUGGAGUUCCGGGUUCGAUCCCCGGUGGAGGGGCUA